rnacentral:rRNA from 1 species
GACAGAGGAUGCAAGCGUUAUCCGGAAUGAUUGGGCGUAAAGCGUCUGUAGGUGGCUUUUCAAGUCCGCCGUCAAAUCCCAGGGCUCAACCCUGGACAGGCGGUGGAAACUACCAAGCUGGAGUACGGUAGGGGCAGAGGGAAUUUCCGGUGGAGCGGUGAAAUGCGUAGAUAUCUGGAGGAACACCGGUGGCGAAGGCGGCGUCCUGGACCAACACUGACACUGAGGAGCGAAAGCCAGGGGAGCAAACGGG